GCUGGGCAUUGGUGGUGCAUGCCUGUAGUCCCAGCUACUUUGGAGGCUGAGGUGGGAGGAUCACUUGAGCCCAAGAGGUCAAGGCUGCAGUGAGCCAUGAUCAUGCCACUGCACUUUGGCCUGGGCAAGACAGUGAGACCCUCUCUCAA
ensembl:misc_RNA Metazoa_SRP Metazoan signal recognition particle RNA